rnacentral:rRNA from 1 species
CAGUACCGCGGUAAUACAGAGGGUGCGAGCGUUAAUCGGAUUUACUGGGCGUAAAGCGUGCGUAGGCGGCUUCUUAAGUCGGAUGUGAAAUCCCUGAGCUUAACUUAGGAAUUGCAUUCGAUACUGGGAAGCUAGAGUAUGGGAGAGGAUGGUAGAAUUCCAGGUGUAGCGGUGAAAUGCGUAGAGAUCUGGAGGAAUACCGAUGGCGAAGGCAGCCAUCUGGCCUAAUACUGACGCUGAGGUACGAAAGCAUGGGGAGCAAACAGGAUUAGAUACCCCCGUAGUCCCUGUCUCUUAUACA